rnacentral:rRNA from 1 species
GACGAACGCUGGCGGCGUGCCUAAUACGUGCAAGUAGAACGCACAGUUUAUACCGUAGCUUGCUCCACCAUAAACUGUGAGUUGCGAACGGGUGAGUAACGCGUAGGUAACCUGCCUGGUAGCGGGGGAUAACUAUUGGAAACGAUAGCUAAUACCGCAUAAUAUUAAUUAUUGCAUGAUAAUUGAUUGAAAGAUGCAAUUGCAUCACUACCAGAUGGACCUGCGUUGUAUUAGCUAGUAGGUGAGGUAACGGCUCACCUAGGCGACGAUACAUAGCCGACCUGAGAGGGUGAUCGGCCACACUGGGACUGAGACACGGCCCAGACUCCUACGGGAGGCAGCAGUAGGGAAUCUUCGGCAAUGGACGAAAGUCUGACCGAGCAACGCCGCGUGAGUGAAGAAGGUUUUCGGAUCGUAAAGCUCUGUUGUAAGAGAAGAACGGGUGUGAGAGUGGAAAGUUCACACUGUGACGGUAUCUUACCAGAAAGGGACGGCUAACUACGUG